CAAAUGAUGUGCUCUCAUUUAUUCUUCACUUUAAUCCUAAAGAGGUGAAAAUCUGACAGCUCAAAAUGAAGCAAAAACCCAAGAUUAAAACAGACACCAUUUUGUGCCCACUCAGUCUUCUUUCCAGGGUCAUACAUGUGUUGUCUGCAUACCUCAUUCUUCCUGGACAUGGGACAAGAACUCAGUACCCACUAAAUGGCAAGACUGAAACAGCUGUAACACAAACAGUACUGAAACACACCCACCCAUUUGCCAUUUUGUGGGUGACGAAAAGGAGAGAAGUCCUGCAGCCUGUCUGGGAACCCAGACCUCAGGGCUCUUUAAGCCAGGACUGUGACAUGCUGUAACAACCUCUUUGAGGCUCUGCAGUUUCUGGGAUCUCCAAGCUUUCGGGCGCCACUGCAUUCCCCUUGUCCAGAUGUUGGUGCCCACAGCAGAAGUCACCUGCAAUACAUCUGGUACAGCUGCAGCCUUGCAUGGAGUUGGCACCUGUGCCAGCAUCUGAAGCUGCCUGUCCAUCACAGCUGGCAUGCCUGGCUGUGCACAGUGGCCGGACCCCACGCUUACCUGCUCACACACCUCUCACUGCUUCAUGCCUAGCUCACACUUGGCAGGUGUGGGAUCCAGGCUGGUAGCAGGAGCUGAGUGCAUCAUGCCAGGCUGAUUGGACAGAACAAGCCCAGUAGGCCUGAGCAAAACUUGGGCAAAGACGCCACCAGCCAUAGAGGUUUCUGUCUGGAAACCAGUAACACCCAAAGGAUCCUGCGACAGUAUCACACCAAAUAAAGGGAAGUGCUGACAAUUAUUUACUCAUUUAAACUAAAUAAUUCAGAUACAGAACAUCUUGUCAUGUUUGUCUAGAGAAAAUGGUUCCAUAGGUAUAAUUAAGGGGCUAAUUUCCAAAGUUGAAUAUUGGCACAGGAAAAAAAACAAAGUAUGUAUAUAGAGAGAAUAGCUCAGAAAGAAAAAAAUGUAACUCUGUGCAAUUGAGAGAGACGAUGUAACUUGAAAGGAUUAACAACGCAAAACGUCAUUGA